AAAUAAUUUCUCAUGUUGUUUGACUGGAAAUUUUGAGUUAUUUGUGUUAAUAUUUGUGUAAUGCUUAUAUUAUAUAUAAUCAGUAUUUCCCAUUUUUCCGAAGGGUGCCAAUAAUUCUGGAAGACUACACAGUGUAUGUGGUCAUGGUGUUCAUUUAAUGAUUUACAUCCAUUAAACACUGUCUACUGUCACCAACAUACUGAUGAGGUUGCUCGCUGUGUUCAGUUGUAGUCAGGUGUGUUAGUGCAGUCAGGUGUGUUAGUGUGUUCAGGUGUGUUCGUGUGUUCAGGUGUGUUAGUGUGGUCAGGUGUGUUCGUGUGUUCAGGUGUGUUAGUGUGUUCAGGUGUGUUAGUGUGUUCAGGUGUGUUAGUGUGG
ensembl:lncRNA